GGGGGCAUAGUUCAAUUGGUAGAGCGUCUGCUUUGCAAGCAGGAAGUUGUGGGUUCGAGUCCCACUGUCUCCA
rnacentral:tRNA from 1 species